rnacentral:rRNA from 1 species
GAUGAACGCUGGCGGCGUGCCUAAUACAUGCAAGUCGAGCGAACAGACGAGGAGCUUGCUCCUCUGACGUUAGCGGCGGACGGGUGAGUAACACGUGGAUAACCUACCUAUAAGACUGGGAUAACUUCGGGAAACCGGAGCUAAUACCGGAUAAUAUAUUGAACCGCAUGGUUCAAUAGUGAAAGACGGUUUUGCUGUCACUUAUAGAUGGAUCCGCGCCGCAUUAGCUAGUUGGUAAGGUAACGGCUUACCAAGGCAACGAUGCGUAGCCGACCUGAGAGGGUGAUCGGCCACACUGGAACUGAGACACGGUCCAGACUCCGACGGGAGGCAGCAGUAGGGAAUCUUCCGCAAUGGGCGAAAGCUUGACGGAGCAACGCCGCGUGAGUGAUGAAGGUCUUCGGAUCGUAAAACGCUGUUAUUAGGGAAGAACAAAUGUGUAAGUAACGAUGCACGUCUUGACGGUACCUAAUCAGAAAGCCACGGCUAACUACGU